AUUGAACGCUGGCGGCAUGCCUUACACAUGCAAGUCGAACGGCAGCACGGGCGCUUGCACCUGGUGGCGAGUGGCGAACGGGUGAGUAAUUCAUCGGAACGUACCUUAUCGUGGGGGAUAACGCAGCGAAAGCUGUGCUAAUACCGCAUACGCCCUGAGGGGGAAAGCGGGGGAUCGCAAGACCUCGCGCGAUUAGAGCGGCCGAUGCCUGAUUAGCUUGUUGGUGGGGUAAAAGCCCACCAAGGCGACGACCAGUAGCUGGUCUGAGAGGACGAUCAGCCACACUGGGACUGGGGCACGGCCCAGACUCCUACGGGAGGCAGCAGUGGGGAAUUUUGGACAAUGGGGGCAACCCUGAUCCAGCAGUGCCGCGUGAGUGAAGAAGGCCUUCGGGUUGUAAAGCUCUUUUGUCAGGGAAGAAACACCGGCUCUAACACAGUCCGGGAAUGACGGUACCUGAAGAAUAAGCACCGGCUAACUACGUGCCAGCAGCCGCCGUAA
rnacentral:rRNA from 1 species